UAUAUAUGGAGAGUUUGAUCCUGGCUCAGGACGAACGCUGGCGGCGUGGAUAAGGCAUGCAAGUCGAACGCGAACAGAACAACUAAUUCGUUAGGAGUUCUUAGUAGAGUGGCGAACGGGUGAGUAACACGUGGAUAACAUACCUUUCAGUGGGGAAUAACAUCGGGAAACUGAUGCUAAUACCGCAGAUGUCAUUUCAUUGAUUUUGAUUUGACUAAAGGGGGGGCUCCUUAGGGACCUCUCGCUGAUUGAUUGGUCCGCGGCCCAUUAGCUCGUUGGUGGGGUAAUGGCCUACCAAGGCAACGAUGGGUAGCCGGCCUGAGAGGGUGUCCGGCCACACUGGGAUUGAGAUACGGCCCAGACUCCUUCGGGAGGCAGCAGUCGAGAAUCUUCCACAAUGUACGAAAGUAUGAUGGAGCGACGCCG
rnacentral:rRNA from 1 species